GAUGAACGCUGGCGGCGUGCCUAACACAUGCAAGUCGAACGAGGUAAAUGAGAUGAAGUUUUCGGAUGGAUUCUUAUUUACCGAGUGGCGGACGGGUGAGUAACGCGUGGGUAACCUGCCUCAUACAGGGGGAUAACGAUUGGAAACGAUUGCUAAUACCGCAUAAGCGCACAGUACCACAUGGUACGGUGUGAAAAACUCCGGUGGUAUGAGAUGGACCCGCGUCUGAUUAGCUAGUUGGCGAGGUAACGGCCCACCAAGGCAACGAUCAGUAGCCGACCUGAGAGGGUGACCGGCACAUUGGGACUGAGACACGGCCCAGACUCCUACGGGAGGCAGCAGUGGGGGAUAUUGCACAAUGGGCGAAAGCCUGAUGCAGCGACGCCGCGUGAGCGAAGAAGUAUUUCGGAUGUAAAGCUCUAUCAGCAGGGAAGAUAAUGACGGUACCUAGACUAAGAAGCACCGGCUAAA
rnacentral:rRNA from 1 species